UACAGAGGGUGCGAGCGUUAAUCGGAAUUACUGGGCGUAAAGCGCACGUAGGCGGCUUGGUAUGUCGGGUGUGAAAUCCCCGAGCUCAACUCGGGAACUGCGUCCGAUACUGGCGGGCUUGAAUCCGGGAGAGGGAUGCGGAAUUCCAGGUGUAGCGGUGAAAUGCGUAGAUAUCUGGAGGAACACCGGUGGCGAAGGCGGCAUCCUGGACCGGCAUUGACGCUGAGGCGCGAAAGCUAGGGGAGCAAACGGG
rnacentral:rRNA from 1 species